ACUAAAUCAUGAAAAUUUGGCUAAUGGCCUAGGGGUAAAAGCAAGGAGGGGUAUUUAAAAACAUGCACUUGGGCCAAAAGAAUUGCUCGAGUCCAAAGGCCAAAGCUCUACAUCUUCAAACACCAACCGGGUUUACCAAGCCAAGAAAUCAACCAAGGUAUCAAGAAAACAAGCAUCCAAAUUCAAACUAGAUGCAAAAUUCAGGUCAAACGCGAAGACUCACCCUCGGCGCCGGAAGAUCCCUCUCAGUGGCCGCGCAAGCAAACGCGAAUCCGUGUCUUGUGCUCUGUUGUUGAUGCGUGAUGAGGACUUUGUGUUGUUGAUGGUUAUGAAGAGCUUCAUGUUAUUGAUGACGAAGAGUGAAUGAGUGUUCUUGUUGUUGAUGACAAAGAGUGAAGGAGUGUUCUUGAGUAUGGAAAUCGUUGAACCCUCUUCUUCAAUUCUUUUCUACUAUUUUGUUCUCUUCGCCCUCCCCAAAAAAUCCGUGAGUUUCUUUUUCCUUCUUUUCUGUUAGAAAAUCUCAUCUACUCUCUGUUUUUGUUUCCGUUAGGAUGCCCUCCCCUUUUGUGAAUUCGGUUUCAGUCGAUUUUGUGGUUCUCUUGGUCAGUAGGGUUAGGAGUUCCCGUUCAGAAUCAAAGAGGUUUCAAGCCGUUGAGGGUUCUAAUUAUGUUGGUUUUGUUUUUGGAGGUUGGGGAGUGAAGUAGAGGGAGUUGAAAUUCGGUUUGAGGUUCUCUUGAUGGAAGGUUCCUCGAAGGGUUGUUGGAGUGUAUUGGUUUUUGCGGUUCCUUUCAGUUAUGGGUUGUGUGGAGGUUCUUUCUGUUAUGGAAGGUUGUUAGUAGGUUGAAGAAUAAAGGAGUUUGUUCGAGUUUGGAUUUGUUUAGAAGGGGUUGUUAGUUGGAGGGAGCAGUUAGAGUUGGUUCGAGUGAGGGUAGUUUGUGGGAGGUUACGGUUUCUGUUAGAGACAGUCGGGGUCGGUUCUGAAUCGGAGUUAUCAAUGUUGAGGUUCAAAAUUAUUUUGGAAGCAGUUAGGAGCUAUUGGUUGGAAAAGUUUCUGUUUUGGACGGGGAUUGUGAAUGGUUGAAAAUUGUUGUGAAUCCCUCUUGUGCAAAUCUAUUAUGGAUUUUUUUGAAGGUGUAUCCAUCAUUCCAGAGCUCCAACAUUGUUGUUGCGAGAUCUUGGAGCCUUUUUGAUGCUUAAAGAAUGGUUCCGAAGAAUUUCCUCGGAUUAACUCACAAGAAUGAUGGUCGAAGAGGUAAUGCAGUUGACUGCUUCCAAGCAGCUUAAAAUAUUUCCUUCUUGUCAUAAGCAAUAUUUUCAUGGUAAAACUGUAUAGAAAAAACUAGCUAGUGUUCAUCUGUUUGAUAUUGUUGUAAUUUUCAUUGUAAUGUAAUAUUUAUUAUAAUGAAUGGAAUUUGUAAUGUAAUUUUGAAAUAGAAUGGAUUUGUGAUGGUAAUUAGAACUCACAUUGUAUUUGAAUGGUUCGAAUGGGAAUUCAAUGUAUAUGAAAUGGUUUAUAAUGGAAAUGGUGAAUUGAAAUGAA